AGGUUAUCUUCGGACCUUGCGCUGAUGGAUGAGCGCGCGUCGGAUUAGCUUGUUGGUGGGAUAAUGGCGCACCAAGGCGACGAUCCGUAACUGGUCUGAGAGGAUGGCCAGUCACACCGGGACUGAGACACGGCUCGGACUCCUACGGGAGGCAGCAGUGGCUAAUCUUGGACAAUGUGCGCAAGCCUGAUCCAGCCAUGCCGCGUGUGUGAAGAAGGCCUUCGCGUUGUAUAGCACUCUCAGUAGGGAGGAAGGCUAUGGGCUAAUACGCUGGAGUACUUGACGUUACCUACAGAAGAAGCACCGGCUAAUCUCGUGCCAGCAGCCGCGGUAAUACGAAAGGUGCGAGCGUUAAUCGGAAUUACUGGGCGUAAAGCGCGCGUAGGCGGUGUGUUAAGUCGGAUGUGAAAGCGCAGGGCUCAACCUUGGAAUUGCAUCCGAUACUGGCACGCUAGAGUGCAGUAGAGUGAGGUGGAAUCUCCGGUGUAGCGGUGAUAUGCGUAGAGAUCGGAAGGAACACCAGUGGCGAAGGCGGCCUCCUGGACUGACACUGACGCUGAGGUGCGACAGCGUGGUGAGCAGACAGGAUUAGAUACUCUGGUAGUCCACGCCGUAAACGAUGUCUACUAGCCGUUGGGGUCCUUAGUGACUCUGGUGGCGCAGCUAACGCGAUAAGUAGACCGCCUGGGGAGUACGGCCGCAAGGUUACCACUCAAAUGAAUUGACGGGGGCCCGCACAAGCGGUGGAGCAUGUGGUAUAAUUCGAUGCAACGCGAAGAACCUUACCAGGCCUUGACAUCCUGCGAACUAUCUAGAGAUAGAUUGGUGCCUUCGGGAGCGCAGUGACAGGUGCUGCAUGGCUGUCGUCAGCUCGUGUCGUGAGAUGUUGGGUUAAGUCCCGUAACGAGCGCAACCCUUGUCCUUAGUUGCCAGCACUUCGCGUGGGAACUCUAGGGAGACUGCCGGUGACAGACCGGAGGAAGGUGGGGACGACGUCAAGUCAUCAUGGCUCUUACGGCCUGGGCUACACACGUGCUACAAUGGUUGGUACAGAGCGUUGCGAAGUCGCGAGGCGGAGCUAAUCUCUCAAAGCCAAUCGUAGUCCGGAUUGGAGUCUGCAACUCGACUCCAUGAAGUCGGAAUCGCUAGUAAUCGCGGAUCAGAAUGCCGCGGUGAAUACGUUCACGGGCCUUGUACACACCGCGCGUCACACCAUGUGAGUGGAUUGC
rnacentral:rRNA from 1 species